AGCACAGGUUGGAAGACAUCCGACUGGCUGGGUGGUGGCCAGGUUGAUUUACUCCUCUUUGGAUGAGGAAUAAAAGAGCUUGUGGUGAAGCUGGCAUCUGAAUUUCACAAUCAGGCCAUACAAUCAAUCUUCAGGCUGUGGAUUGCAGGAAGAAAAGACUAAUGAUUUGAUGAGUCUCUAAGAGCAAGUACCAGCAGAUGUUGGCCCAAUGCUUCCCAUGGAUGGACCAGGUGCUACUUAAGGAGGUUCGCUUUCCUUUCUGCAGAUUCCCUUCAUACCAGCUCCACCACUUUCUUCAGAUGAGGAAAAGAGUAGUGUUCCUCACUGAUGUUCCCAGACUGGCACAGCUGGUGAAAGUCAGAGCUGUGACUUCACACUUGAGCAUCUGUUCAGAUGCUUUGACCAGGUGGAUUUCGUUAAUCUCUUGGAGUGCUUUUGCGAUUGCUGACUCUUUCUCUAAAGCUGACCAAACCUUGGAUUAUAUUUAACCAGUAAAAAGAGCCAGGGAAGCAUCUGCUCAAGCUAUCAAGCAAUCAGCCCAAAGUCCAGGAGAGGAGCUAUAGAAGGAGACCCUGUACUCUGAAAGACUCCAUUGGACUCAUCAUGACUGAGGCCUCUCUCUACAGAGAAUCUAUUUCAUUGCUUUCCUUUUGCUUUCAAAUAAACUUGCUCUGUCUGC